AUUGAACGCUGGCGGCAGGCUUAACACAUGCAAGUCGAGCGGGGAAAGGUAGCUUGCUACCUAACCUAGCGGCGGACGGGUGAGUAAUGCUUAGGAAUCUGCCUAUUAGUGGGGGACAACAUUCCGAAAGGAAUGCUAAUACCGCAUACGCCCUACGGGGGAAAGCAGGGGAUCUUCGGACCUUGCGCUAAUAGAUGAGCCUAAGUCAGAUUAGCUAGUUGGUGGGGUAAAGGCCUACCAAGGCGACGAUCUGUAGCGGGUCUGAGAGGAUGAUCCGCCACACUGGGACUGAGACACGGCCCAGACUCCUACGGGAGGCAGCAGUGGGGAAUAUUGGACAAUGGGCGAAAGCCUGAUCCAGCCAUGCCGCGUGUGUGAAGAAGGCCUUUUGGUUGUAAAGCACUUUAAGCGAGGAGGAGGCUACUUGGAUUAAUACUCUAGGAUAGUGGACGUUACUCGCAGAAUAAGCACCGGCUAACUCUGUGCCAGCAGCCGCGGUAAUACAGAGGGUGCGAGCGUCAAUCGGAUUUACUGGGCGUAAAGCGUGCGUAGGCGGCUUUUUAAGUCGGAUGUGAAAUCCCUGAGCUUAACUUAGGAAUUGCAUUCGAUACUGGGAAGCUAGAGUAUGGGAGAGGAUGGUAGAAUUCCAGGUGUAGCGGUGAAAUGCGUAGAGAUCUGGAGGAAUACCGAUGGCGAAGGCAGCCAUCUGGCCUAAUACUGACGCUGAGGUACGAAAGCAUGGGGAGCAAACAGGAUUAGAUACCCUGGUAGUCCAUGCCGUAAACGAUGUCUACUAGCCGUUGGGGCCUUUGAGGCUUUAGUGGCGCAGCUAACGCGAUAAGUAGACCGCCUGGGGAGUACGGUCGCAAGACUAAAACUCAAAUGAAUUGACGGGGGCCCGCACAAGCGGUGGAGCAUGUGGUUUAAUUCGAUGCAACGCGAAGAACCUUACCUGGUCUUGACAUAGUAAGAACUUUCCAGAGAUGGAUUGGUGCCUUCGGGAACUUACAUACAGGUGCUGCAUGGCUGUCGUCAGCUCGUAUCGUGAGAUGUUGGGUUAAGUCCCGCAACGAGCGCAACCCUUUUCCUUAUUUGCCAGCGGGUUAAGCCGGGAACUUUAAGGAUACUGCCAGUGACAAACUGGAGGAAGGCGGGGACGACGUCAAGUCACCAUGGCCCUUACGACCAGGGCUACACACGUGCUACAAUGGUCGGUACAAAGGGUUGCUACCUGGCGAUAGGAUGCUAAUCUCAAAAAGCCGAUCGUAGUCCGGAUUGGAGUCUGCAACUCGACUCCAUGAAGUCGGAAUCGCUAGUAAUCGCGGAUCAGAAUGCCGCGGUGAAUACGUUCCCGGGCCU
rnacentral:rRNA from 1 species